UUCUCUUCCAAAGAAGCUGGUCCUUAGCCUGUAUUGCGGAGCAAGCUUUCGGCGACCAGCUGGACCCUGGGCACCCUUCUUCGAACAAUGGCUUUUAAUUCUCAGACUAGAACGUUUAGGAUUACAAAAGAAACUGGUUCUUUUCACAUUCUUAUUCUUGUGAUGUAGCAUUCCGCAUAUAUAUAUAUAUAUAUAUAUAUAUAUAUAUAUAUAUGUAUCCAACUAUCCUAAAAGACACUACCCUUCAUCAUUCCAUGCCAUUAGACAUGUAUAGGACCAUGCAUGGUGAUCUCCUCCAGACAAAAGUAAAUGCUGGUGCAGAACAGUGUCUUCCUGGUACUACACAUGAAGAUGUCCCGCUCUCCCCUGCUCAAGGAGAGAGUGCCUGACCUGAGCUGGGCCCAUCAGAUCCAGUACUUACCUGGAAUACGAAAAAGAUGGAGAGAGUGACCAAAGAUUACAAAAAUCUCUGAAGCUUAUCUACUUGAGAGAGAGUCCCUGAAGAUACUGGCCUCUCAUUCCUGCUAUGUAUAUCCAAUGUGACUGAACUCUGAAUAAAAUAUACAAGUUAUAACAAUGUAGCAAUUGACCCAGCAAACGAGGACACAAACGUGUUGGAAGGAUUUGAGUUUGAUGUCUUGCAUACAAUGUGAUCCCACUGUAUGACUACACAAAUGUUGGCAAAAGUGAGUUCAGAGGAAAUGGUAGGCAAGUACUUCCCAGUUUUGGCCAGAAGAUGGAGAAAAAAGAAUUCUCAAAAAAUGUUAAAGGUGUCUACAGAGAAAUAGACAAGUGAUGCACGACAGAUACAUGUGUCAGUCUGGUCCCUGCAGUUGUAUUUGUAAUAAUACACAUUGGAGCAAUUUCAUGGCCAUCGGUUAGAGAAUGU
rnacentral:lncRNA from 10 species